rnacentral:lncRNA from 1 species
GACAGUGUUGUACUCUGUGUCUUACCUCCUAGAAUGAUGAAUUUGUUAUUAAGGAGAAUCUCUUCUUGGACCACAAGCAUUCCCUGAAAUAUAAUCCUGCAAUGUGGACACUGGAGAUUAUAUUGUGGAAAGUUUCCUGGUUUUGUCUACUUUCUAUGACUGAAAGGAGCACUUACAAAGGGAUGCAAAAAUAAUCUAAGCAUUUGUUUAAAUACCUUACACAUAUACCUGACAAUAUUCAUAGCACACUUGUGUGCAAGGUCAGUACUAAGCAAAGGGAGAAGAGGUGAUGGAAUCUGAGGAAAAUGACACCAAAGCCCUCCCACCAGAUGCACUGACAUAUAAGCAACUUCUCUGGGUGAAGACCCUGAAGCCCUGAGUUUAACUAUGUUUUGUAUGAAGGAUGGUCAAGCCCUCAUAUGAUUACCACUAAUUAAC